AACGAACGCUGGCGGCAUGCCUAACACAUGCAAGUCGAACGAGACCUUCGGGUCUAGUGGCGCACGGGUGCGUAACGCGUGGGAACCUGCCCUUAGGUUCGGAAUAACUCCCCGAAAGGGGUGCUAAUACCGGAUAAUGUCUUCGGACCAAAGAUUUAUCGCCUUUGGAUGGGCCCGCGUUGGAUUAGCUAGUUGGUAGGGUAAAAGCCUACCAAGGCGACGAUCCAUAGCUGGUCUGAGAGGAUGAUCAGCCACACUGGGACUGAGACACGGCCCAGACUCCUCCGGAAGGCGGAAGUGGGGAAUAUUGGACAAUGGGCGAAAGCCUGACCCAGCAUGCCGCGUGAGUGAUGAAGGCCUUAGGGUUGUAAAGCUCUUUUACCCGGGAUGAUAAUGACAGUACCGGGAGAAUAAGCUCCGGCUAACUCCGUG
rnacentral:rRNA from 1 species